rnacentral:rRNA from 1 species
AUUGAACGCUGGCGGAAUGCUUUACACAUGCAAGUCGAACGGCAGCACGGACUUCGGUCUGGUGGCGAGUGGCGAACGGGUGAGUAAUACAUCGGAACGUGCCCAGUCGUGGGGGAUAACGUAGCGAAAGCUACGCUAAUACCGCAUACGAUCUAAGGAUGAAAGCGGGGGAUCGCAAGACCUCGCGCGAUUGGAGCGGCCGAUGGCAGAUUAGGUAGUUGGUGGGGUAAAGGCUCACCAAGCCGACGAUCUGUAGCUGGUCUGAGAGGACGACCAGCCACACUGGGACUGAGACACGGCCCAGACUCCUACGGGAGGCAGCAGUGGGGAAUUUUGGACAAUGGGCGCAAGCCUGAUCCAGCCAUUCCGCGUGCAGGAUGAAGGCCCUCGGGUUGUAAACUGCUUUUGUACGGAACGAAAAGGCUCUGGUUAAUACCCGGGGCUCAUGACGGUACCGUAAGAGUAAGCACCGGCUAACUACGUGCCAGCCGCCACAGUAACAC